GCAGUGGUGGUUCAGUGGUAAGGCUCUGGCCUUCCAUGUGGGAGACCCAGGUUCGAUCCCUGGCCGAUGUG
rnacentral:tRNA from 1 species